AUUGAACGCUGGCGGCAGGCCUAACACAUGCAAGUCGAGCGGAUGAAGGGAGCUUGCUCCUGGAUUCAGCGGCGGACGGGUGAGUAAUGCCUAGGAAUCUGCCUGGUAGUGGGGGAUAACGUCCGGAAACGGGCGCUAAUACCGCAUACGUCCUGAGGGAGAAAGUGGGGGAUCUUCGGACCUCACGCUAUCAGAUGAGCCUAGGUCGGAUUAGCUAGUUGGUGGGGUAAAGGCCUACCAAGGCGACGAUCCGUAACUGGUCUGAGAGGAUGAUCAGUCACACUGGAACUGAGACACGGUCCAGGCUCCUACGGGAGGCAGCAGUGGGGAAUAUUGGACAAUGGGCGAAAGCCUGGUCCAGCCAUGCCGCGUGUGUGAAGAAGGUCUUCGGAUUGUAAAGCACUUUAAGUUGGGAGGAAGGGCAGUAAGUUAAUACCUUGCUGUUUUGACGUUACCAACAGAAUAAGCACCGGCUAACUUCGUG
rnacentral:rRNA from 1 species